rnacentral:rRNA from 1 species
CUUUCCCUCUUUCUUCAGGCUUAACACAUGCAAGUCGAGCGGAAAAAGGGAGCUUGCUCCUGGAUCCAGCGGCGCACGGGUGAGUAUUGCCUAGGAAUCUGCUUCGUAGUGGGGGGUAACGACUGGAAACGGGCGCUACUAAUGCCUACGUCCUGCUGGAGCUAGUGGGGGAUCUUCGGACCUCUUGCUCUCAGAUGAGCCUAGGUCGGUCUAGCUAGUUUGUUGGGUAAAGGCCUACCUAGGCGAGGAUUCGUAAGUGGUCUGCGUGGAUGAUCAGUCACACUAGAACUGAGACACGGUCCAGAGUCCUACGAGAGGGAGCAGUGUGGUAUAGUAGACAAUAGUCGAAAGCCUGGCCCAGCCAUGCCGCGUGUGUGAAGAAAGUCUUCGGAUUGGAAAGCACGUUAAGUUGGUAGGAAGGGCAGUAAGUUAAUACCUUGCUGUUGUGACGGUACCAGCAGAAUAAGCACCGGCUAACUUCGUG